rnacentral:rRNA from 1 species
GACGAACGCUGGCGGCGUGCCUAAUACAUGCAAGUAGAACGCUGAAGCUUGGUGCUUGCACCGAGCGGAUGAGUUGCGAACGGGUGAGUAACGCGUAGGUAACCUGCCUGGUAGCGGGGGAUAACUAUUGGAAACGAUAGCUAAUACCGCAUAAUAGUAGAUGUUGCAUGACAUUUGCUUAAAAGGUGCAAUUGCAUCACUACCAGAUGGACCUGCGUUGUAUUAGCUAGUUGGUGAGGUAACGGCUCACCAAGGCAACGAUACAUAGCCGACCUGAGAGGGUGAUCGGCCACACUGGGACUGCGACACGGCCCAGACUCCUACGGGAGGCAGCAGUAGGGAAUCUUCGGCAAUGGACGGAAGUCUGACCGAGCAACGCCGCGUGAGUGAAGAAGGUUUUCGGAUCGUAAAGCUCUGUUGUAAGAGAAGAACGAGUGUGAGAGUGGAAAGUUCACACUGUGACGGUAUCUUACCAGAAAGGGACGGCUAACUACGUG